GACGAACGCUGGCGGCGUGCUUAACACAUGCAAGUCGAACGGAAAGGCCCCUUUGGGGGUACUCGAGUGGCGAACGGGUGAGUAACACGUGAGUAACCUGCCCUUGACUUCGGGAUAACUUCAGGAAACUGGGGCUAAUACCGGAUAGGAAUCCUUGCUGCAUGGUGGGGGUUGGAAAGCUUCGGCGGUUUUGGAUGGACUCGCGGCUUAUCAGCUUGUUGGUGGGGUAGUGGCUUACCAAGGCUUUGACGGGUAGCCGGCCUGAGAGGGCGACCGGCCACAUUGGGACUGAGAUACGGCCCAGACUCCUACGGGAGGCAGCAGUGGGGAAUAUUGCACAAUGGGCGGAAGCCUGAUGCAGCAACGCCGCGUGCGGGAUGACGGCCUUCGGGUUGUAAACCGCUUUCAGCAGGGGCGAAGCUUGUGGUGACGGUACCUGCAGAAGAGGCACCGGCUAACUACGUG
rnacentral:rRNA from 1 species